UCAUAUGGAUGAGCAAAAAAGUGGUUUUUUGAGGUAGAAUCUACGUCUGGUGAAGACCCUGUGAA
rnacentral:pre_miRNA from 1 species